AUUUUAAUAGUUUAAAAAAAACAUUGAUAUUGUAAAUCAAAUUUAUAUUAUUAAUAUUUAAAAUA
rnacentral:tRNA from 1 species